CAUUAGAUGGCUGAAAGCAAGCAAGGGUCUCUUAAACCUCAAUAUAGUAAACUAGCAACUACUUCUAGUGG
rnacentral:tRNA from 1 species